AUUUAAAUAGUUUAUUUAAAACGCUGGUCUGUGGAUCCAGAAAUAUAACUUAGAGUUAUUUUAGAUC
rnacentral:tRNA from 1 species